rnacentral:rRNA from 1 species
GGAGGCAGCAGUGGGGAAUAUUGCACAAUGGGCGCAAGCCUGAUGCAGCGACGCCGCGUGAGGAAGAAGUAUCUCGGUAUGUAAACUCUAUCAGCAGGGAAGAAAAUGACGGUACCUGACUAAGAAGCCCCGGCUAACUACGUGCCAGCAGCCGCGGUAAUACGUAGGGGGCAAGCGUUAUCCGGAUUUACUGGGUGUAAAGGGAGCGUAGACGGCGACGCAAGUCUGGAGUGAAAGCCCGGGGCCCAACCCGGGACUGCUUUGGAAACUGUGCUGCUGGAGUGCAGGAGAGGUAAGUGGAAUUCCUAGUGUAGCGGUGAAAUGCGUAGAUAUUAGGAGGA